GAUCAGGGGCCCCAUUCACAAAGCUUCGUUACCGCUUAACGUGUUAGUUAAGCACCGACUUUCUCGUGAAAAGCAAAAAUGGUAUUCACAGAGCUUCGUAAAUAUUCGAGAGAAAUUAUUCGAGAGAGUUUUUUUGGCGCCAAAUGAGACGUCUCGUAAAGUGCCUUCUUCUCACAUUUUAUCGAGAAUCGGUAUUCACGAAAGUUCUUUAACCGCUGAAGAGCUCGCUAGCUAACGAGAACAAUCUUCGCCUCGUUAACAGUUCGGAUUGCUCUCAGCAGUGAUUCAAAUUAAAAUAGGCUCGUUGGGACGUUAGCAUACUUUGUAAAAAUUGGCAUAGUAUCAAGGGGCCUUACUCGGCACUGGCCUACAGUAUUAUGAACACCGAUUCACAAAUGGCUACCUAUAUUGAAGCUUGCAGAAGAAAAGUCCAACAAUCUCUCCAUGUCGUAUCCGAAAGAAAAAAAUUAGCUAGAUGCAAAUGAAAGGACCUUAAUAGAGGACUAUAGACUCAAUGAAAAAUUAAAAAUAUGGAAUCUUAACAAGCUUUGGCAACUCACUGAUUUUAUUGUCUGUUACACAAAUAGUUCACAAUAUGUAAUUUGUUUUGUGGCAAUAAAUCUCUCUCUGUGUAA